UUCUCAUAAAUCACAAAGGACACCUAUACUAAUGGAUGUCCCAGAGUGUAUGGAUGAGGGGACAUGGAAAUGAUACAUUCUAAUGAUUUUUCUCUACUUCUGGAGGUGCUGGCAGAUACCUAAAUCAUAUCAACAAGAAGUUUAUGGAAAAGAGAACUACAAUCAUCAUAAACCCAAUCAUGUUUUACUUGGUGUUGAAGGACAUUAAAAAAUACCUCCCACCUUAAUUUACUAAAUUAUCAAACAAAUCCUGUUCCCCGAUCUCAGAAGACCACCUGGCUCAGUAUCACAAAGCACCCUGAUUUCUCCCUCAUCUUGAGAUGUCAGGAUCCCUCAGAAAACUUCGUAGAGGUGCCCUAGUGGUGGCAUGCACCAAGAUCAGAUUGUUCUACCUGAGUUAAAGAUGUUCCUCCUGUUGCCUUUUGUGAAGCAGGAGAGAAUCAGAGCACCAGUGGAACAACAGCAGUGAGAAGCUCAUCAGCUUCACGAACUGACCACAGACCAAUCAGUGAAUUCCUGUCCUGCUUUCACUUUGCUUUCCGUGCUAUGUGGAAAUAAGAGCUCUCCUCAUGGGUCCAGUGUGAGGAACAGAUAGCAAGCACUGAUUGGGUGGAACCAGCCAAAGG
rnacentral:lncRNA from 1 species